rnacentral:rRNA from 1 species
UACGAAGGGGGCUAGCGUUGUUCGGAAUUACUGGGCGUAAAGCGCACGUAGGCGGAUCGAUCAGUCAGGGGUGAAAUCCCAGGGCUCAACCCUGGAACUGCCUUUGAUACUGUCGAUCUGGAGUAUGGAAGAGGUGAGUGGAAUUCCGAGUGUAGAGGUGAAAUUCGUAGAUAUUCGGAGGAACACCAGUGGCGAAGGCGGCUCACUGGUCCAUUACUGACGCUGAGGUGCGAAAGCGUGGGGAGCAAACGGG